CUCAGCAAAUCUCCUCUGCACAAUCAGCGCAAGGGGCAAAUGUUUUAGUUGAGUAAACUAUGGAAGGUGGAUAGAUUGCAACUUUUAUCUCUACCACACACACAUAUGUGUUGUGGGAGCUGCCGUAGACGAGUGUAAGUGUGCAGCCUGUCAAGAAGCUCGAUUUGUUUGAUCGAUAAAGUGCAGUGCGGUAGCAAAAGAGUCUAAUUGGAUCAAUACCUUUUAUGCACAUCAGUCUAGAGCCUGAAAUACCACGACAAAUGCAUAACACCUGUCAUCUACCUGUGGAGGAAACAAGUGGGCGGAUGCGUUUUCAGUCGCUCAUUCCUGACCAAGCACCAGGUUCGCUGCUGCAGGUACACCACAGGAAUGCCAACAUAGUGUGUUAU